AAUUUGGUGCUUGCACCAGAUGAAACUAGAUACAAGCGAGCGGCGGACGGGUGAGUAACACGUGGGUAACCUGCCCAAGAGACUGGGAUAACACCUGGAAACAGAUGCUAAUACCGGAUAACAACACUAGACGCAUGUCUAGAGUUUAAAAGAUGGUUCUGCUAUCACUCUUGGAUGGACCUGCGGUGCAUUAGCUAGUUGGUAAGGUAGCGGCUUACCAAGGCAAUGAUGCAUAGCCGAGUUGAGAGACUGAUCGGCCACAUUGGGACUGAGACACGGCCCAAACUCCUACGGGAGGCAGCAGUAGGGAAUCUUCCACAAUGGACGCAAGUCUGAUGGAGCAACGCCGCGUGAGUGAAGAAGGGUUUCGGCUCGUAAAGCUCUGUUGGUAGUGAAGAAAGAUAGAGGUAGUAACUGGCCUUUAUUUGACGGUAAUUACUUAGAAAGUCACGGCUAACUACGUGCCAGCAGCCGCGGUAAUACGUAGGUGGCAAGCGUUGUCCGGAUUUAUUGGGCGUAAAGCGAGUGCAGGCGGUUCAAUAAGUCUGAUGUGAAAGCCUUCGGCUCAACCGGAGAAUUGCAUCAGAAACUGUUGAACUUGAGUGCAGAAGAGGAGAGUGGAACUCCAUGUGUAGCGGUGGAAUGCGUAGAUAUAUGGAA
rnacentral:rRNA from 1 species